GCUAGCGGCAGGCCUAAUACAUGCAAGUCGAGGGGUAACAGGAAGUGCUUGCACUUCGCUGACGACCGGCGCACGGGUGAGUAUCGCGUAUACAAUCUGCCUCAUACUAGGGAAUAGCCCGAAGAAAUUUGGAUUAAUGCCCUAUAGUAUCUUUUUAAGGCAUCUUAUUAAGAUUAAAGGUUACGGUAUGAGAUGAGUAUGCGUUCUAUUAGCUAGUAGGUGUGGUAACGGCACACCUAGGCUACGAUAGAUAGGGGCCCUGAGAGGGGGAUCCCCCACACUGGUACUGAGACACGGACCAGACUCCUACGGGAGGCAGCAGUAAGGAAUAUUGGACAAUGGGCGAAAGCCUGAUCCAGCCAUGCCGCGUGCAGGAUGACUGCCCUAUGGGUUGUAAACUGCUUUUAUAUAGGAAGAAAAAUUUUCUCGUGAGAAAACUUGACGGUACUAUAAGAAUAAGGAUCGGCUAACUCCGUGCCAGCAGCCGCGGUAAUACGGAGGAUCCAAGCGUUAUCCGGAAUCAUUGGGUUUAAAGGGUCCGUAGGUGGACAAAUAAGUCAGAGGUGAAAUCCUGCAGCUCAACUGUAGAACUGCCUUUGAUACUGUUUGUCUUGAGUUAUUAUGAAGUGGUUAGAAUGUGUAGUGUAGCGGUGAAAUGCAUAGAUAUUACACAGAAUACCGAUUGCGAAGGCAGAUCACUAAUAAUUAACUGACACUGAGGGACGAAAGCGUGGGUAGCGAACAGGAUUAGAUACCCUGGUAGUCCACGCCGUAAACGAUGGUCACUAGCUGUUUGGACUU
rnacentral:rRNA from 1 species